AUUGAACGCUGGCGGCAGGCCUAAUACAUGCAAGUCGAGCGAGCGGAGGACGGGUGAGUAAUGUCUGGGAACCUGUCUGAUGGAGGGGGAUAACUGCUGGAAACGGUAUCUAAUACCGCAUACCAUCCGAUGUGCGCAGUGGGGAAUGGCUAGUAGGUGGGGUAAUGGCUCACCUUGGCGACGAGCCCUAGCUGGUCUGAGAGGAUGACCAGGCGAACUGGAACUGAGACACGGUCAUGACGCCUACGGGAGGCAGGGGUGGGGAAUAUUGCACAAUGGGCGCAAGCCUGAUAGAGCCAUGCCGCGUGUGUGAAGAAGGCCUUCGGGUUGUAAAGCAGUUACAGCGGGGAGGCGUUACCCGGAGAAGAAGCACCGGCUAACUCCGUGCCAGCAGCCGCGGUAAUAC
rnacentral:rRNA from 1 species